GAGGAAGAGGAAGAGGAAGAGGAAGAGGAAAAGGAAGAGGAAGAGGAAGAGGAAGAGGAAGAUGAUGAUAGCUAAUCUACUGAGAUCAGCUGGAGCCAGUCAUGUUGAGGCAUCACAUCCCACCCCUGAAAAUAAUCUGUGAAGAAGUACAAGAUGGAGCUGAUAGAAAGAGUGACCGAGACUGAGCCGUUGUUGGAUCCACUUUGCCAUAUUAUACUUCUUAGUGAUCAUUCCUGUUCUGAAAUCAAAGCUUUGAUGAGUGAACUGCUGAUCUUAAUAUAGACAAUUUAUAAGACUUGUUGUGAUAGUCAAAAUUAAAUAAUUUUUUUCUCUUAAAAAUACUAAAUAUUUUUAGUACAAAUGUAGCAAUCUAAUGACAAAUUCAGAUUAUUUUUAUCACUGCAAUGUUUCAUUACCAAUUUGUUUUCUUCUCUGAUGUUCAAUCAGCCUCACAGCUGUUUUGUCUCUAUGCAAUACUUUGGAUUUUGAUUUUAAGAAUAAAAUCUCAAUUUCAUGUGGAUCAACUGAAGUUUUAUUUGUUUUUUUUUAUUUCAGAUUAAAAUGCAUUUUCACAUUUAAUCAGAACUACAUUUUGAUGUUCACUUUUGUUCAGUUUCCCUUUAUAAU